GGCAGAAUGGCCGAGUGGUCUAAGGCGCUGCGUUUAGGCCGCAGUCCGAGAGGGCGUGGGUUCGAACCCCACUUCUGUCA
rnacentral:tRNA from 1 species